rnacentral:lncRNA from 1 species
UUAUAUGAAUUGGAUUUGUUAGUAUCACAAUUGACUAUAUUCUAGCUAUCUGAAAUGAAGUAUCAAACUACAAAAUACUGAGGCUUGCUACUUCCAUCUUAAUUCAACUCAUAAUCCAUUCUACGAUUAUCAAUUCAACAAUACUUCUCUCAAUCACCAUUCUUCAUAAGCAAAUAAUAAAAAAAAUAAAGAGGUAGCACCAAGCUUACCCUAGCUUACAACUCUCAGUCUGGCUCUCAAUCUCUUUUUCUUCAACCUAUUUAUCCUACCAAAAAGAUGAUUUGUUGGCCAACGGAUUCCAAAG